rnacentral:rRNA from 3 species
CACCCGCACGUAUAGAUGGACAAGAAUAGGCUUCGGCUUAGCGUCUUAGCAGGCGAUUCCUCCACGGCGCUCGAAGCGCGUCGUGGUAUUUCGCGUAUUGUAAUUUCAACACGAGCGGGGUCAAAUCCUUUGCAGACGACUUAGCUGUGCGAAACGGUCCUGUAAGCAGUAGAGUAGCCUUGUUGUUACGAUCUGCUGAGGGUAAGCCGUCCUUCGCCUCGAUUU